GUUAGGAAUAUUGGACAAUGGGCGCAAGCCUGAUCCAGCCAUGCCGCGUGAGUGAUGAAGGCCUUCGGGUUGUAAAGCUCUUUAGUCCACGAAUAUAAUGACUGUAGUGGAAGAAUAAGCCCCGGCUAACUUCGUGCCAGCAGCUGCGGUAAUACGAAGGGGGCGAGCGUUAUUCGGAAUCACUGGGCGUAAAGCGUGCGUAGGCUGUUUUGUAAGUCAGAAGUGAAAGCCCAGGGCUUAACCCUGGAAUUGCUUUUGAAACUACAAGACUCGAAUUCGGGAGAGGAUAGCGGAAUUGUCAGUGUAGCAGUGAAAUGCGUAGAUAUUGACAGGAACACCAGUGGCGCAAGCGGCUAUCUGGACCGAUAUUGACGCUGAGGCACGAAAGCGUGGGGAGCAAACAGGAUUAGAUACCCCGGUAGUCC
rnacentral:rRNA from 1 species